rnacentral:rRNA from 1 species
AAGCAGAGAUUUAUGCUCGUACCUUUUGCAUCAUGAUUUAGCUAGUAAACUCAAGCAAAGAGAACUUUAGUUUGACCCCCCGAAACUAAGUGAGCUACUCCAAGACAGCCUAAUACAGGGCAAACCCGUCUCUGUGGCAAAAGAGUGGGAAGAGCUUUGAGUAGCGGUGACAGACCUAUCGAACUUAGUUAUAGCUGGUUGCCUGAGAAAUGGAUAGAAGUUCAGCCUCCCGGCUUCUUUACUCACACUGUAUUAACCCACACAGACACCAUAAGAAACCGUGAGAGUUAGUCAAAGGAGGUACAGCUCCUUUGAAUUAAGGCACAACUUUUUCAGGAGGGUAAAGAUCAUAUUAAAGACCUCAAGGUUAAAUGUUUUAGUGGGCCUAAAAGCAGCCAUCUAGACAGAAAGCGUUAAAGCUCAGACAUAUCACCCACCCUAUCAUCACGAUAAUCCAGUCUUAACCCCCUACCCUUACCAGGCCGUUCCAUACAGAUAUGGAAGCGAAUAUGCUAAUAUGAGUAAUAAGAGAGAAUAGAAACGACUCUCUCCCUGCACACGUGUACAUCAGAUCGGACUCCCCACCGAAACUUAACGGCCCCAAUCAAAGAGGGAACUGAACCAUAAACUGGUUUAACUAGAAAAUCAUCCAAUAUUUAACCGUUAACCCUACACAGGUCUGCUUACAGGGAAAGACUAAAAGAAAAAGAAGGAACUCGGCAAAUAUAUUAAAGCCUCGCCUGUUUACCAAAAACAUCGCCUCUUGCAAAACUAACGAAUAAGAGGUCCCGCCUGCCCUGUGACUCUAAGUUCAACGGCCGCGGUAUUUUAACCGUGCGAAGGUAGCGUAAUCACUUGUCUCUUAAAUGGGGACCUGUAUGAAUGGCAUAACGAGGGCUUAACUGUCUCCUUUUUCAGGUCAAUGAAAUUGAUCUCCCCGUGCAGAAGCGGGGAUAAACACAUAAGACGAGAAGACCCUAUGGAGCUUUAGACACUAAGAUAGAUCAUGUUAAACACUCCCUGACAAAGGAAAUAAACCAAAUGAUCCCCUUUCCCAAUGUCUUCGGUUGGGGCGACCACGGAGAAACACAGAACCCCCGUGCAGAACGAAAGCACUGCUUUCACAACUAAGAGCUCCCGCUCUAAUAAACAGAAAUUCUGACUACAUGAUCCGGCACCGCCGAUCAACGAACCAAGUUACCCUAGGGAUAACAGCGCAAUCCUCUUCUAGAGUCCAUAUCGACAAGAGGGUUUACGACCUCGAUGUUGGAUCAGGACAUCCUAAUGGUGCAGCCGCUAUUAAGGGUUC